rnacentral:tRNA from 6 species
GGGGCAUUAGUUCAGCGGGAGAAUACUUCGCUGGCAGCGAAGGGGUCACCGGUUCGAAUCCGGUAUGCUCCA